UUCAGGAGGCACUUGACUGUGUCAUUCCAGGUUCCUCCUCUGCUCGCAGACACAAGAUAUGACUUUUAGAGAAAGGCCAUGACUGGUGACUCAAGGAACUAGAAAUGAGGACCACAACUCGUGCCUUCCCCCUUAAACCGACUGAAAGGUUGGACCCAGACAGUUAAAUUAUAAUUACAGCCCCAUCUGGAGGGGGAGAAAGUACGGUACUCGACGG
rnacentral:lncRNA from 1 species